CUUGUAGUCCCUCCGUCAGAAAAUACUUGUCAUUGAAAUGGAUGUGUCUAGAUAUAUUUUAGUUCUAGACACAUCCAUUUUGAUGACAAGUAAUUCCGGACGGAGGAAGUACUUG
rfam:Triticum aestivum genome assembly, contig: Triticum_aestivum_CS42_TGACv1_scaffold_148488_2BS